rnacentral:rRNA from 1 species
CUGAUGCAGCAACGCCGCGUGAGGGAUGACGGCCUUCGGGUUGUAAACCUCUUUUAGUAGGGAAGAAGGGCUUCGGCUUGACGGUACCUGCAGAAAAAGCACCGGCUAACUACGUGCCAGCAGCCGCGGUAAUACGUAGGGUGCGAGCGUUGUCCGGAAUUAUUGGGCGUAAAGAGCUCGUAGGCGGUUUGUCACGUCUGCUGUGAAAUCCCGAGGCUCAACCUCGGGCCUGCAGUGGGUACGGGCAGACUGGAGUGCGGUAGGGGAGAAUGGAAUUCCUGGUGUAGCGGUGGAAUGCGCAGAUAUCAGGAGGAACACCGAUGGCGAAGGCAGUUCUCUGGGCCGUAACUGACGCUGAGGAGCGAAAGCGUGGGGAGCGAACAGGAUUAGAUACCCUGGUAGUCCACGCCGUAAACGUUGGGCGCUAGAUGUGGGGACCUUUCCACGGUUUCCGUGUCGUAGCUAACGCAUUAAGCGCCCCGCCUGGGGAGUACGGCCGCAAGGCUAAAACUCAAAGGAAUUGACGGGGGCCCGCACAAGCGGCGGAGCAUGCGGAUUAAUUCGAUGCAACGCGAAGAACCUUACCAAGGCUUGACAUAACCGAGAACGCCGCAGAAAUGUGGAACUCUUUGGACA